GACGAACGCUGGCGGCGUGCUUAACACAUGCAAGUCGAACGGAAAGGCCCUGCUUUUGUGGGGUGCUCGAGUGGCGAACGGGUGAGUAACACGUGAGUAACCUGCCCUUGACUUUGGGAUAACUUCAGGAAACUGGGGCUAAUACCGGAUAGGAGCUCCUGCUGCAUGGUGGGGGUUGGAAAGUUUCGGCGGUUGGGGAUGGACUCGCGGCUUAUCAGCUUGUUGGUGGGGUAGUGGCUUACCAAGGCUUUGACGGGUAGCCGGCCUGGGAGGGUGACCGGCCACAUUGGGACUGAGAUACGGCCCAGACUCCUACGGGAGGCAGCAGUGGGGAAUAUUGCACAAUGGGCGGAAGCCUGAUGCAGCAACGCCGCGUGCGGGAUGACGGCCUUCGGGUUGUAAACCGCUUUCGCCUGUGACGAAGCGUGAGUGACGGGAAUGGGUAAAGAAGCACCGGCUAACUACGU
rnacentral:rRNA from 1 species